AAAUGUCUGACCUAGGUCAUCAAUGGCGAGUCGACGCGGAGUUUACGAACAGAGAGCGGCCGUUCACAUGCUUCAUUGAAUUUGUUCGAGAUGCAAUGUUCAGUAGUAGGUACCAGUCUAUUCAAUGAUCCUGUUUAUCUGAUCUAGCAAGAGAUAAGGUUUGGCAGUGAGGGAUGCAAGCGACGAUUUUUUUGGGAUUAGUGGGGCGGCUUCUUCCUAUUUGUCUGCUCCACCAGUCAGGAAUGCGGAUGGUGGUUUGGUGGGAACAGCUCUCUCAACAAGUAAAGGCCAAGCCACCGCUGGCGGAUUAACAAAUAUAAAUGCAGCUCAACAAGUUGAACAUGGAUUACAAAAUGCAAAUUUUGCCUUGUUCAGCAACCUCCAACAGUUUUGACGCUGAUCACACUUUUUUUGUUUGUCAAAUUUA